ensembl:miRNA
AGGGCGGACUGUCUCAGAGUGGUGAUGUCACUUGUCUUAGUCACCCGGGACUGGUCUGCCCAGG